rnacentral:misc_RNA from 1 species
GAUGAAGAACGCAGCGAAAUGCGAUAAGUAAUGCGAAUUGCAGAAUUUCCGUGAGUCAUCGAAUCUUUGAACGCACAUUGCGCCCAUUGGCAUUCCGGUGGGCAUGCCUGUUCGAGCGUCAUUAUCCUCCCUCAAACCCCGGGUUUGGUGUUGGACCCAAGUUGUGUGAACAACUGGUCUCAAAGACAAUGACGGCGUCCGUGGGACCCUCGGUGCAACGAGCUUUUAGGAGCACGCAUCGAGUUGCAAGGACCUUCCGGGCCGGUCUCCUUUACCAUUUUACAAGGUUGACCUCGGAUCAGGUAGGAAUACCCGCUGAACUUAAGCAUAUCAAUAAGCGGAGGA